UCCAGACUCCUACGGGAGGCAGCAGUGGGGAAUAUUGCACAAUGGGGGAAGCCCUGAUGCAGCGACGCCGCGUGAGUGAAGAAGUAUUUCGGUAUGUAAAGCUCUAUCAGUAGGGAAGAAAAUGACGGUACCUGACUAAGAAGCCCCGGCUAACUACGUGCCAGCAGCCGCGGUAAUACGUAGGGGGCAAGCGUUAUCCGGAUUCACUGGGUGUAAAGGGAGCGUAGACGGCCAUGCAAGCCUGGAGUGAAAGCCCGGGGCCCAACCCCGGGACUGCUCUGGGAACUGUGCGGCUGGAGUGCGGGAGGGGCAGGCGGAAUUCCUGGUGUAGCGGUGAAAUGCGUAGAUAUCAGGAGGAACACCGGCGGCGAAGGCGGCCUGCUGGACCGCGACUGACGUUGAGGCUCGAAAGCGUGGGGAGCAAACAGGAUUAGAUACCCCGGUA
rnacentral:rRNA from 1 species